rnacentral:rRNA from 1 species
GUAGGGAAUAUUGGGCAAUGGAUGCAAGUCUGACCCAGCCAUCCCGCGUGCCGGAAGAAGGCCCUCAGGGUUGUAAACGGCUUUUGACGGUGAAGAAUCGACAGGAUGCGUCCUGUUUUGACGGUAGCCGUUGAAUAAGCACCGGCUAACUCCGUGCCAGCAGCCGCGGUAAUACGGAGGGUGCGAGCGUUGUCCGGAUUUAUUGGGUUUAAAGGGUGCGUAGGCUGGAGGGUCAGUCAGCGGUGAAAAGCUGUCGCUUAACGAUAGUCUUGCCGCAGAUACUUCCUUUCUUGGAUGAGGAGGAGGCCACUGGAACGGAUGGUGUAGCGGUGAAAUGCAUAGAUAUCAUCCAGAACACCGAUUGCGAAGGCAGGUGGCUGUACCUUAAUCGACGCUGAUGCACGAAAGCAUGGGGAGCAAACAGGAUUAGAAACCCGUGUAGUCC